rnacentral:rRNA from 1 species
UGCCUUACACAUGCAAGUCGAACGGCAGCAUGAUCUAGCUUGCUAGAUUGAUGGCGAGUGGCGAACGGGUGAGUAAUACAUCGGAACGUGCCCUGUAGUGGGGGAUAACUAGUCGAAAGAUUAGCUAAUACCGCAUACGACCUGAGGGUGAAAGUGGGGGACCGCAAGGCCUCAUGCUAUAGGAGCGGCCGAUGUCUGAUUAGCUAGUUGGUGGGGUAAAGGCCCACCAAGGCGACGGUCAGUAGCUGGUCUGAGAGGACGAUCAGCCACACUGGGACUGAGACACGGCCCAGACUCCUACGGGAGGCAGCAGUGGGGAAUUUUGGACAAUGGGCGAAAGCCUGAUCCAGCAAUGCCGCGUGUGUGAAGAAGGCCUUCGGGUUGUAAAGCACUUUUGUCCGGAAAGAAAUGGCUCUGGUUAAUACCUGGGGUCGAUGACGGUACCGGAAGAAUAAGGACCGGCUAACUACGUGCCAGCAGCCGCGGUAAUACGUAGGGUCCAAGCGUUAAUCGGAAUUACUGGGCGU